GGAGGACUAGUCUAACUGGUAAGGCAGCGGAUUUGAAAUCCGCCGGGUUUACGCCCUUCGGGGUUCGAAUCCCCGGUCCUCCG
rnacentral:tRNA from 1 species